rnacentral:rRNA from 1 species
GACGAACGCUGGCGGCGUGCUUAACACAUGCAAGUCGAACGGAAAGGCACUGCGUUUGUGGUGUGCUCGAGUGGCGAACGCGUGAGGAUCACGUGAGUAACCUGCCCUUGACUUUGGGAUAACUUCAGGAAACUGGGGCUACUACCGUAUAGCAUCUCCUGCUGCAUGGUGGGGGUUGGAAAUUUUCGGCUGUUGGGGAUGGACUCGCGGCUUAUCAGCUUGUUGGUGGGGUAGGGGCUUGCCAAGGCUUGGGCGGGUAGGCGGCCCGAGAGGGUGACCGGCCACAUUGGGACUGAGAUACGGACCAGAGUGCUACGGGAGGCAGCAGUGGGGAAUAUUACACAAUGGGAGGAAGCCUGAUGCAGAAACGCCGCGUGCGGGAUGACGGUCUUCGGGGUGUAAAACGCUUUAGCCUGUGACGACGCGUGAGUGACGGUAAUGAGUAAAGAAGCACCGGCUAACUACGUG